AAGGGAGACCUAAUUCAGGUAGGAGACGAAAAAAAAGUAGUCCCUACCAAGAAUCAAUCCCAAAAGGUCGGAGCGAGGCAAAAUUGGCUUUCAAACUAGGUUCUGGGUUCACACAAGACCUGAAUCAGGAACAAGGGCUAUUAGCUCAGGUGGUUAGAGCGCACCCCUGAUAAGGGUGAGGUCCCUGGUUCGAGUCCAGGAUGGCCCACCUGUACAGGUGGCAAAAACAAAGAAAAGAAGCGAGGAAUCAGCACCUUAUCUUACUUAUAUAGUAAGAGAGAAUGCUGGCUCUGAGUAGAGAGUCCAGAGGAACCUUGAAAACUGCAUAGAGCUAGGUGAAAAAGCCAAAAAAGAAGACCGCAA
rnacentral:tRNA from 1 species